AGAGUUUGAUCAUGGCUCAGGAUGAACGCUGGCGGCGUGCCUAACACAUGCAAGUCGAACGGGACUAUCUGGAGGAUCUUUUCGGAGUGAUUCCUGAUAGUUUAGUGGCGGACGGGUGAGUAACGCGUGGAUAACCUGCCUUUCACAGGGGGAUAGCAGCUGGAAACGGCUGGUAAUACCGCAUACGCUCAUAUCACCGCAUGGUGGUGUGAGGAAAGAUUUAUCGGUGAAAGAUGGAUCCGCGUCUGAUUAGCCAGUUGGCGGGGUAACGGCCCACCAAAGCGACGAUCAGUAGCCGGCCUGAGAGGGCGGACGGCCACAUUGGGACUGAGACACGGCCCAGACUCCUACGGGAGGCAGCAGUGGGGGAUAUUGCACAAUGGGCGCAAGCCUGAUGCAGCGACGCCGCGUGAGUGAAGAAGUAUUUCGGUAUGUAAAGCUCUAUCAGCAGGGAAGAAAGGCCCAUUAUGGGAGAUGACGGUACCUGACUAAGAAGCCCCGGCUAACUACGUGCCAGCAGCCGCGGUAAUACGUAGGGGGCAAGCGUUAUCCGGAUUUACUGGGUGUAAAGGGAGCGCAGACGGAACUGCAAGUCUGAUGUGAAAGCCCGGGGCUCAACCGCGGGACUGCAUUGGAAACUGUAGAUCUGGAGUGCCGGAGGGGCAAGCGGAAUUCCUGGUGUAGCGGUGAAAUGCGUAGAUAUCAGGAGGAACACCGGCGGCGAANGCGGCUUGCUGGACGGCAACUGACGUUGANGCUCGAAAGCGUGGGGAGCAAACAGGAUUAGAUACCCUGNUAGUCCACGCUGUAAACGAUGAAUACUNNUGUGGGCAUGCAAGGCAUGUCCGUGCCGCANCUAACGCAAUAAGUAUUCCACCUGGGGAGUACGUUCGCAAGAAUGAAACUCAAAUGAAUUGACGG
rnacentral:rRNA from 1 species